ACGACUGUUAGCAAAACGGAAUGGAAAGUCCGGCCAUAGCAGGUGAUAGCCCUGUAUGCGAAAACAGACGUGUGGUACUAAGCUAGAGAAAAGUAGGGCGGGACACGAGAAAUCCUGUCUGAACAUGGGGGGACCAUCCUCCAAGGCUAAAUACUCCUGACCGACCGAUAGUGAACCAGUACCGUGAGGGAAAGGCGAAAAGAACCCCGGAGAGGGGAGUGAAAUAGAACCUGAAACCGUGUGCAUACAAGCAGUCGGAGCCC
rnacentral:rRNA from 1 species